GAUGAACGCUGGCGGCAUGCUUUACACAUGCAAGUCGAGCGGCCGGACGGGAACCUUCCUUCUCUGAUGUUACCGACGGAUGAGUGAUUCAUCCGUGCGUAACCUACCUAUAGGACUGGCAUAGCUUCGGUUAACCUUAUCUAACACACGAUAUUAUUUUGAACCCGAUGGACCAUAAGUCCUCGCCCGUCUUGCUCUCCCUAUUACAUGGAUCCUCGUUGCAUUAGCUAGUUGGUACGGUAACGGCUUACCAAGGCUACGAUGCAUAGCCGACCUGAGAGGGUGAUCGGCCACACUGGAACUGAGACACGGUCCAGACUCCUACGGGAGGCAGCAGUAGGGAAUCUUCGGCAAUGGGCGAAAGCCUGACGGAGCAACGCCGCGUGAAGGAUGAAGGCCUUCGGGUCGUAAAACGCUGUUAUUAGGGAAGAACAGAUGUGUACGAAACCCUGCAGCUCAUGACGGUACCUAAUGAAAAAGCCACGGCUAACUACGUG
rnacentral:rRNA from 1 species